AUGGAGCUCCUCGCCCUUCUCCUGUGCCUCCUAGCCGUGCCCGUGAUGGCUUUUCUGCGCAGCUACAACAGGCGAGCGCGCGCUGAGGCGACCGUCCACUUCGUCAGCGACCCCGCCGUCGCCCACCGAGCGCUCAUCGAGAACGCCGAUGACUUGUCGAGCCGUCCGGCGGCGAUCUUCCCCGUCUUCCUUGCUUCACUGCGCGACGGCCGACGGAACGACAACAUGACCACGGCGAGCUACGGCCCGCACUGGCGGGCGCUCCGGUGCAACCUCGCCUCCGGCAUCCUCCACCCCUCGCGCCUCGCUUCUCUCGCCCCGUUGCUGCAGGAGGCCGCCGAGACCCUCGUCGGCGGCCUAUCCACCCGAGGUGAGAUUGAGAAGGCCGCCGGACUGCGGGUCCGCGGGCCCGUCACCGCCGCGGCAUUCGCGCUGUCCACGCGCCUGUGCUUUGGUGACAGCGUCGAUGACGCCCACAGGCACGCCAUGGGGAGGGUGACGCGGGACUCCAUGCUCGCCAUUGGGGAGCUAAGCCCCAGGUUCGACGGCUCCAUGUUGUCCAAGCUCGUCAACUGGAGGGCGCUUGGCCGUAUCUCCGCUCUGCUUGGCCGGCAGGCCGAACUGUACCGCCCCCUGAUCGCGGCCGCCGCGGCACGGAAGCAGUCCCAUUCUGGGCUUUGCGGUGGUGUUUUCCAGCCAUACGUGGACUCGCUGCUCGAUCUCCGCGUUCCCGCCGACGACGGCGAUGCCCGGCGCGCGCUCCGGGAGACCGAGCUGGUCGGGCUCUUGUUCGAGUUCCUCGGCGCAGGCACAGGGUCGGUGGUGACCUGCGCCGAGUGGGCCCUCGCCCACCUCAUCGACCAGCCGGAGGUCCAGGACAAGCUGCGCCGCGAGAUCAAUGACGACGCAGAUGCCGGCGGCAAGAGCCUGCGCACGGGCAUGCCGUACCUGAACGCCGUGGUGCUGGAGAGCCUCCGCAUGCACCCACCGGUGCCGAUCAUCUUGCGAGCCGCCCACGGCGAGGGCGCCAGGGCAGUUGGUGGCGCCGCCACCGUGUCCGUGCCAGCCAGCGGCUUGAGAGUGAUGUUCAACCUAGGCCACAUUGGACGAGACAGGAAGAUGUGGGCCGACCCCGGCGAGUUCCGGCCAGAGCGGUUCCUUGCCGGAGGGGAGGCGGAGGACGUCGGGCCGACGCCGGGGUCCAAGGAGAUAAGGAUGAUGCCGUUCGGUGCGGGGAGCAGGCACUGCCCUGGCGUGGGCAUGGGGAUGAUGCUCAUCAAGUGCUUCCUCGCCGCGCUUGUCCGCGAGUUCGAGUGGGCGCCGGACUGCAGCGGCCGCGUCGACAUGACGGAGCUCGACGGCUUCCUAAAGAUGAUGAAGAAGCCACUCUCAGCGCGUGUCAAGCAACACGCUUAA
rnacentral:rRNA from 1 species